rnacentral:rRNA from 1 species
AUUGAACGCUGGCGGAAUGCUUUACACAUGCAAGUCGAACGGCAGCACGGGGGCAACCCUGGUGGCGAGUGGCGAACGGGUGAGUAAUACAUCGGAACGUGCCCAGUCGUGGGGGAUAACUACGCGAAAGCGUAGCUAAUACCGCAUACGAACUCAGGUUGAAAGCGGGGGAUCGCAAGACCUCGCGCGAUUGGAGCGGCCGAUGGCAGAUUAGGUAGUUGGUGGGGUAAAGGCUCACCAAGCCGACGAUCUGUAGCUGGUCUGAGAGGACGACCAGCCACACUGGGACUGAGACACGGCCCAGACUCCUACGGGAGGCAGCAGUGGGGAAUUUUGGACAAUGGGCGCAAGCCUGAUCCAGCCAUUCCGCGUGCAGGAUGAAGGCCCUCGGGUUGUAAACUGCUUUUGUACGGAACGAAACGCGCCGGGCUAAUACCCUGGCGUAAUGACGGUACCGUAAGAAUAAGCACCGGCUAACUACGUGCCAGCAGCCGCCGCAGUAA